rnacentral:rRNA from 1 species
CACGCCGUAAACGAUGAGUGCUAGGUGUUAGGGGGGUCCAACCCCUUAGUGCUGAAGUUAACACAUUAAGCACUCCGCCUGGGGAGUACGACCGCAAGGUUGAAACUCAAAGGAAUUGACGGGGGCCCGCACAAGCAGUGGAGCAUGUGGUUUAAUUCGAAGCAACGCGAAGAACCUUACCAGGUCUUGACAUCCUCUGACAACCCUAGAGAUAGGGCGUUCCCCUUCGGGGGACAGAGUGACAGGUGG